UGGCUACAUAGACAAUGUCAUAAACCAAAUGACGGUUUAUUCUUCAGAGAAGCAUCGUUGCAGUGGAAGAGUUUGGAUGAGAACAAGGCGCUACAAAUCAAUCAGGGAUUUGUUCUGUAGGCCUGUCAGGUCUAUAAAUAGCUAGACUCCUGCUUACCAAGUAGUGGAUGGAUGUACAUCUCCAGGCAUAUCCACAGCUCUUCAAAUAAGCAAUGUGAUGUUAGCAAAAGUGCAGGGGCUCCUUGAGAACUUUCCAGGGCUAACCAGCUGCUGAGGAGUGGCCUCCAGGAAAGAGAGAAGCACUCUGAUUCAGGCAGUGAUUUACACCUAAAAUACCAACUCCAUCAUAUCUUCAGAACAAUUCUUCUAGACCUUGCAUCUAAAUAUGGAGUCAUUAACUAACAACGAACAAAACCUCUGGAUGGCCGAAGGACCUAGGCUAUACAGAAAGCUGUGAAUUACCAAUGAGAACGCAGAUCUCUAAUGCCUGUCAUCUGCGCCAUGGGCUUUAGUUCAAGUGAGUCUUCCUCCUACCUUCCGUGGAGCAAUCAACUGGUAAGAGAAGAGUGCUUCAAGUAAGCAUGUGUACAACUCCAGUAAACACACUGCGCAUGCGGCCCCUCCCAAGCACUAGCACACAAGUGGUCAGCCCACCCCAAGGGAAGAAUCAGGGGAGAGGGGACCCAAGACCCUGUAUAUACCCAGUAAUGGGAUCGCUGAGUCAAAUGGUAUUUCCAGCUCUAAAUCUUUGAGG
ensembl:lncRNA DLEU1 deleted in lymphocytic leukemia 1